rnacentral:rRNA from 1 species
GACGAAUGCUGGCGGCGUGCCUAAUACAUGCAAGUUGAGCGAUGAAGAUUGGUGCUUGCACCAAUUUGAAGAGCAGCGAGCGGGUGAGUAACGCGUGGGGAAUCUGCCUUUGAGCGGGGGACAACAUUUGGAAACGAAUGCUAAUACCGCAUAACAACUUUAAACAUAAGUUUUAAGUUUGAAAGAUGCAAUUGCAUCACUCAAAGAUGAUCCCGCGUUGUAUUAGCUAGUUGGUGAGGUAAAGGCUCACCAAGGCGAUGAUACAUAGCCGACCUGAGAGGGUGAUCGGCCACAUUGGGACUGAGACACGGCCCAAACUCCUACGGGAGGCAGCAGUAGGGAAUCUUCGGCAAUGGACGAAAGUCUGACCGAGCAACGCCGCAUGAGUGAAGAAGGUUUUCGGAUCGUAAAACUCUGUUGGUAGAGAAGAACGUUGGUGAGAGUGGAAAGCUCUUCAAGUGACGGUAACUACCCAGAAAGGGACGGCUAACUACGUGCCAGCCGCCGCGGUAA